rnacentral:rRNA from 1 species
CCUACGGGGGGCAGCAGUAGGGAAUCUUCCACAAUGGGCGAAAGCCUGAUGGAGCAACGCCGCGUGGGUGAAGAAGGUCUUCGGAUCGUAAAACCCUGUUGUUAGAGAAGAAAGUGCGUGAGAGUAACUGUUCACGUUUCGACGGUAUCUAACCAGAAAGCCACGGCUAAAUACGUGCCAGCAGCCGCGGUAAUACGUAGGUGGCAAGCGUUAUCCGGAUUUAUUGGGCGUAAAGGGAACGCAGGCGGUCUUUUAAGGCUGAUGGGAAAGCCUUCGGCUUAACCGGAGUAGUGCAUUGGAAACUGGGAGACUUGAGUGCAGAAGAGGAGAGUGGAACUCCAUGUGUAGCGGUGAAAUGCGUAGAUAUAUGGAAGAACACCAGUGGCGAAAGCGGCUCUCUGGUCUGUAACUGACGCUGAGGUUCGAAAGCGUGGGUAGCAAACAGGAUUAGAUACCCCUGUAGUC